CCUCCUAUUCUCGCGACACCGCCCCCCUCUUCUCGCGACACCAACCAGUCCCCACAGCUCAGCUGCGUCCCCAUAAGGCAUUGCCCCUUCCUCACCCACAGCUCCGCGUAGCCCCGCCACGAGAGCGCAGGGCUUGUGGCCAAAGCCUAGGUUCCAGGAAGCACCUGCUGUGGGUAGCAACGCAGGGAAGGGAUGGAAAAGCUUCGCUACGGUUCCAAAGCUCUUCCUGCUAGCCUUGCCUUACCAUUUACAAAUGAGAAACCAAAAUCAUGGUAUUUUGAAAACCAGAGGUAUGAAUCUCCGUCUUUUUGUAUCCCACUGGGCCUGGACCUGUUUCACUGCUAAUAUUCUGCUGCCAAAACUAUACAAGCUGCCUCGACUGUUGGAGAAAAGGAAGAUGAAACACUGAAUUAGGAAAUCUGGGAAACUGCAGACACAUUUUCUAACAUGUUCAAAUCAGGAAAAAAAAGUCAUUCCAUGUGUGCAUUUCAGAAGGGAUUCAUAGCACUGGCUUCACAAUUUCUCCCUUGGACAACCACAAGAGGCAUCCUUAAAACUGUGAGAGAAAACCUAAUACAACUGAUACAAAUAAAGAAAACCCAGCUCCUCACCCCUUGACCUUCCUCACUGUUACCAAAAUCAAUUUUUUGUUGUUUCUGGGGUUUUUUUUUUAAAUAAAAAUAAUGCAUUGUUUCUUA